rnacentral:rRNA from 1 species
UUUAUGGAGAGUUUGAUCCUGGCUCAGGAUGAACGCUGGCGGCGUGCCUAAUACAUGCAAGUCGAGCGAACGGACGAGAAGCUUGCUUCUCUGAUGUUAGCGGCGGACGGGUGAGUAACACGUGGAUAACCUACCUAUAAGACUGGGAUAACUUCGGGAAACCGGAGCUAAUACCGGAUAAUAUUUUGAACCGCAUGGUUCAAAAGUGAAAGACGGUCUUACUGUCACUUAUAGAUGGAUCCGCGCUGCAUUAGCUAGUUGG